ACAGAAAGCUGGAUACCGUCUUCAUCUCAGUUUACGCCAGGAGAAACUCCUGUAUUUGAAAAUGUGGCUGGACCCAUUGUUCUUCUUCUCUUCUUCCUGUUUGGCGUGCUCUGCAAUCUACUGGUGAUUGGUGGAGAGAUGACGGUGAAACACCGUUGGUCCUCACUCCUAGCAGCCAUUAAACUAAUCAACAUAAACCGGGCCAUUGCGCAUACUCUCAUUUGUCUAGUGAAUAUGCACUGUAUGAUUUGGUUCUUGGUGAUGGACUUCCCUCCCACCAUCAUCUCGAAAACCUGGAGUGUUUCAUUCUCUCUUCACCUUGGCAUGUGUA